UACAGAGGGUGCAAGCGUUAAUCGGAAUUACUGGGCGUAAAGCGUGCGUAGACGGUCAUGUAAGUCGGGUGUGAAAGCCACGGGCUCAACCUGGGAAUUGCAUUCGAGACUGCAUGGCUAGGAUGCGGAAGAGGGAAGCGGAAUUUCCGGUGUAGCGGUGAAAUGCGUAGAUAUCGGAAGGAACACCAGUGGCGAAAGCGGCUUCCUGGUCCAGCAUCGACGUUCAGGCACGAAAGCGUGGGGAGCAAACAGG
rnacentral:rRNA from 1 species